rnacentral:misc_RNA from 1 species
AAGUCGUAACAAGGUUUCCGUAGGUGAACCUGCGGAAGGAUCAUUAACACGUAUCCAAACGUUAAAACCCCCCCCGUGAACCUUCAUCCUGCUCUUGUAACCCGCGUAGUUCGCAAUCUCUGAUAAAUCAUAGCCCGGAAAGUUGUAGUAAACUGGUGGGUUAUUAGGGGGCAUGGGGACCCUUUGGCAAAGCUCCUGCCCGAGUGUACGGUCUACAGGAAUCGUAGAAGCGCUAUCCUUGCACAAUCAAUGACACUUUCCGACACUGACUGCUUGGGGAAACAUUGCCUAUAGAACUACCGCUCGAUUGUAACUGUUCCAAUGUUCGCACGUAGCCAGAGGUCUCUGAAUCACUGAAGCUCAAUGUAAUACAUUGGGUAAAAAAACCGAACAACUGUUAACAAUGGAUAUCUUGGUUCUC